rnacentral:rRNA from 1 species
AAAUGAAUUGACGGGGGCCCGCACAAGCAGCGGAGCGUGUGGUUUAAUUCGAGGCUACACGAAGAACCUUACCUGGGCUUGACAUGGCGGUAGUAGCGACCUGAAAGGGGAGCGACCUUCGGGAGCCGUCACAGGUGCUGCAUGGCUGUCGUCAGCUCGUGUCGUGAGAUGUUCGGUUAAGUCCGGUAACGAGCGCAACCCUCGCCGUCAGUUACAAGUGUCUGGCGGGACUGCCCGUUGAACGCGGGAGGAAGGUGGGGAUGACGUCAAGUCAGCAUGGCCUUUAUGUCCAGGGCUACACACACGCUACAAUGGCCGGCACAACGGGUAGCCAACCUGUGAGGGGGAGCCAAUCCAAGAAAGCCGGUCUCAGUUCGGAUUGCAGGCUGCAACCCGCCUGCAUGAAGUCGGAGUUGCUAGUAAACGCGCAUCAGCCAUGGCGCGUUGAAUACGUUCCCGGGCCUUGCACACACCGCCCGU